GAACCGUACAAACGUUAUUCGGAAUCACUGGGCUUAAAGGGUGCGUAGGGCGGUCCAGAAAGUUGGGGUGUGAAAGCCCUCGGGCUCAACCGAGGAAUUGCGCUCAAAACUUCUGGACUAGAGGAAGGUAGAGGUAAGCGGAACUUAGGGUGGAGCGGUGAAAUGCGUUGAUAUCCUAAGGAACACCAGUUGCGAAGGCGGCUUACUGGACCUUUUCUGACGCUGAGGCACGAAAGCUAGGGGAGCGAACGGGAUUAGAUACCCCGGUAGUCCUAGCUGUAAACGAUGAGCACUGGGUUGGAGGCCCCCUCAUAGGCUUCCUGCCGUAGCGAAAGUGUUAAGUGCUCCGCCUGGGGAGUAUGGUCGCAAAGGCUGA
rnacentral:rRNA from 1 species